GGUGACGUGGCCGAGGGGUUAGGCAAGGCUCUGCAAAAGCUUUUACGGGGGUUCAAGUCCCUCCGUCACCUCCA
rnacentral:tRNA from 2 species